GCCGUGAUCGUAUAGUGCUUAGUACAUUGUGUUGUGGCCUAAUAACCCAGGUUCGAAUCCUGGUUACGGCA
rnacentral:tRNA from 1 species